UACGUAGGGUGCGAGCGUUAAUCGGAAUUACUGGGCGUAAAGCGUGCGCAGGCGGUUUUGUAAGCCAGAUGUGAAAUCCCCGAGCUCAACCUGGGAAUGGCAUUUGGGACUGCAAGGCUGGAGUGCGGCAGAGGAGACUGGAAUUCCUGGUGUAGCAGUGAAAUGCGUAGAUAUCAGGAGGAAUACCGAUGGCGAAGGCAGGUCUCUGGGCUGACACAUGACGCUCAUGCACGAAAGCGUGGGGAGCAAACAGG
rnacentral:rRNA from 1 species